ensembl:lncRNA
AAUGUCUCCUUGGCCUCCAGCAAGGAAGCAGUUUCCAUAUCUAUAUUUAAUCAUUUUUAGUAAAUUUUUUUCUGAUCAUAAAAAUACAUACCUGCAAUAUAUAGUCACACAAUGGAAUACUACACACCAAUGAAAAAGAAUAGACUUCCACUUACGUAAACACAGCAACAGAACAGAUUGGUUUUAUUCAAUGAAAAACGGAAGACAAGCAUGAAAAUUAAUACCUGUUCAUUCUAAAAAAUAAAUAAAGUACACACAGUAUUUAAAAGAAAAAAAAAUUGGUAGUCCCACCACUGGGAGAUACCACAAUUAACAUCUUAGAGGAUGUCCUUCCGGAUCUUUUCCCAAUAGCAUUACCUUUUCACGAGCAUUUCCUAAGAACGGAACCGGGACCUAGAACCACUCACUGGAGGUGCUAGUUUAUGCAGGAGUCUGAGUUCCCUGGACGUCUUUCUCUUACCCAGAAAGCCCUGAUACGACCAGAUUUAAUUUGACCAUUUUUAGAAGUGCACGGAACAAUUAACGGCAAAUAAAUUGAAUUAAAAUCAAAUUGAAUGCAGCCUUUCAAUGAUAUGACUUAGAAUUUGAUUUUAAGUACCGUAAUGAAUACGAAAUGAAAGCUGGGCCUGGAAGGCUGGAAGGGCUCUUGGGCUUCGUGGGACCCGGAGUGCCACCUGCUGGCCGUGGUCUGCAAUGACAUCCACCACCCCUUCCUCUGACAGCAUGGACUUCCCGCUUGUAAACCCAAAAUAGGCUCCCUCUUUUUCUUCCAUGCGUUGAUAUCUCUCUCAAGAGCUUCCCAGACAUCUUUGCUCCCCUAGAGCAUUACAAAGUUGCUAGCACACAGGAGUAGUUUAAUAAAUAUUUUUUGAAUGAAUGAAUGAAUGAAAGGAUGGAUAGAUGGAUGGAUGAUGGAUGAUGGACGGAUGGAUGGACAAAAGGACGGAAGGGCAGUCUUGUGCGUCAUUGUGAAAUGAGAGAAUAAUCUCUGCCCUUCCCAUCUCACAGGCUUUUUUUGCAUUUUUUUUGUUUUCUCUUCUCUCGCUUUUGAUAAAAAUGAUGAUUUGAUACACAUAAACAUAGUGAAAUGAUUAUUAUUUGAGCUAACAUGCUAUCUCCUCAUAUAGUCAUUUUUUGUGAUGAAAGCUCUUGAAUUCUACUCUUCGCAUAUUUCCAGUAACUAUACAGUAUUAUUAACCACAGCCAUCGGGCUGGACACUAGCUCUCUAGACUUAAGUCACCCUACAUAACCACACUUCCGCCCCCUUUGACCUCAUCUCUCCACUCCCCCACCUCCCUGCCCUGGCAACCACCAGCCUGCUCUCUGCUUCUCUGUAUUCGACUUUUUUAGACUCCACACAAAAGUGAGUUGUGCAGUUUUCUUCUUUCCUCACAGGAUUUUUUUUUUUUUAGGAGAGUGAAUAAGAUAACCGUUGAGGGAAGCCAGAUGGAUGUGAAGGAUUAUGAUAACAACCCAACGCCAGGGGGCGGAGGAGUCAAAUGGUGACCAGGGUGAGCAGAGAGGCUGCAGAGAAAGGUACUGCGUUAAAAACAGGAGAUCAAGCAAACGUGAGGAGUCUUGAGCCAGACACUCACUAGGCAGCUGACAGUUUAGCUCGUUUCCAUUUCCUCUUCCUCCUUUAGGACCAGCUCGCUACUCCUUUCCACGGAAUCUGAGGAGCUGAGAUUCCUGGCCACGGAGAGUUGUCGCUUCCUGGGCUCACUCAGAGGUGAGGUGACGUUCCACGCUCGCUGUCAGUUUUGAAACAGGCAGUGUCACUGUGCUGCGGAUGUGACCUGAGCGAGCCCAAAACCUACAGGGAGGCUCCAAUGCAUCGAUCUCGACCCAGCUUCUACUUAGGAAAUGCGGUCCCAUCUUAGCAUCUCUGUCACAAUCUUAUUUCACAUUAGCUUGUGGCCCACUAAGACCCAUCCCCUACUGGCUUUUUUGAAUAUGGACUGUACCCUUUCAAGUAUCAUCCACUGUUUGUUUGGGCAACCGGUUUUUUGAAACUAGAGGUAGACUUUGUGUUAUUUUGCACUAGGUAAAUUCAAUCUCAUUGCUCUGGCCCAUCUACAUAGGCUGUUAAAAUGUUCCCAGGGGCCGGCCUGGUGGCGCAGCGGUUAAGUGCGCACAUUCCCCUUUGGCGGCCCGGGAUCCGCCGGUUUGGAUCCCGGGCGCGGACAUGGCACAGCUCAUCAAGCCAUGCUGUGGCAGGUGUCCCACAUAUAAAGCAGGGGAAGAUGGGCACAGAUGUUAGCUCAGGGCUAGUCUUCCUCAGCAAAAAAGGAGGAUUGGCAGAUGUUAGCUCAGGACUGAUCUUCCUUAAAAAAAAAAAGCUUCCAGCCCUACCUUGGUCAUUGCGUAUGUUCUCCCUGCGCUGACCGGAUGACAGGCACACAUUUCAACAGUGUGCAAUUCAUGCAUCCAUUCAUUCACUAUGCAGUUACUGAGUACCUACUAUUCCCUAGGGACUAUGUUAGGAGCCAGGAGACAGAGGGCAUACCUGAGAGAGGGUGGCGAGUGCUGUAGAAGAGGCAUGCUGGCUGCCAUGGGCUCAGGGAGCAGGUGUCUGAUUGCUGUCAGCAGCAGUGGGAAGGUGUCCAAGUCAAGAGACGUGGCAGAGGCCAAAAGGCCUUCUCCCCUUCUUUCCUAGCACACCACUGGACUAUACUUUCCAGCUCCGAUGAUUCUCGGUGCUUCCGCAUCGCGACCUGGGCCGAUGAAGUGGUGAAGUCCAUUCUGAUGGGCCUCUCCUGGCUUCCUCUGCCUUCCCAGCAAAGAAAC